rnacentral:rRNA from 1 species
AUUGAACGCUGGCGGCAUGCCUUACACAUGCAAGUCGAACGGCAGCACGGGUGCUUGCACCUGGUGGCGAGUGGCGAACGGGUGAGUAAUGCAUCGGAACGUGCCCAGUCGUGGGGGAUAACGCAGCGAAAGUUGUGCUAAUACCGCAUACGUCCUGAGGGAGAAAGCAGGGGAUCUUCGGACCUUGUGCGAUUGGAGCGGCCGAUGUCAGAUUAGCUAGUUGGUGAGGUAAAAGCUCACCAAGGCGACGAUCUGUAGCUGGUCUGAGAGGAUGAUCAGCCACACUGGAACUGAGACACGGUCCAGACUCCUACGGGAGGCAGCAGUGGGGGAAUUUUGGACAAUGGGGGCAACCCUGAUCCAGCCAUGCCGCGUGAGU